rnacentral:misc_RNA from 1 species
GAUGAAGAACGUAGCGAAAUGCGAUACGUAGUGUGAAUUGCAGAAUUCAGUGAAUCAUCGAAUCUUUGAACGCACAUUGCACCUCUCGGUAUUCCGGGAGGUAUGCCUGUUCGAGCGUCAUUUGUACCCUCAAGCUCUGCUUGGUGUUGGGUGUUUGUUCCGCCUCUGUGUGUGAACUCGCCUCAAAACAAUUGGCAGCCGGCGUACUUGUUUUGGAGCGCAGCACAUUUUGCGAUCCAGAUCAACGUACAGCGGCAUCCAAGAAGCCUUAUUUAACGCUCUUGACCUCGGAUCAGGUAGGGAUACCCGCUGAACUUAAGCAUAUCAAUAAGCGGAGGA